rnacentral:rRNA from 1 species
GACGAAGGGGGCUAGCGUUGUUCGGAAUUACUGGGCGUAAAGCGUGCGUAGACGGUAGCGUAAGUCAGAUGUGAAAGCCCCGGGCUCAACCUGGGAAUUGCAUUUGAGACUGCUCUGCUCGGGUGCGGAAGAGGGAAGCGGAAUUUCCGGUGUAGCGGUGAAAUGCGUAGAUAUCGGAAGGAACACCAGUGGCGAAAGCGGCUUCCUGGUCCGACACCGACGUUCAGGCACGAAAGCGUGGGGAGCAAACAGG